AGCAAAAGAUAAAGGGGUUAAACUGAGCAGCUGUUCUACAACCACAAGUCAAAACCGCAAACGCUCAGGAAAAAAGACUCUGUAAUGAAAUACACAUCCUGUCUAUGAAAUUACGUGUUAACAUUUACCCUGACCAACUCUUAAGUUGCUGCUGUCUUUCCUAUGGGCAUUCCUCCAGGCUGGCGGUCAUGGGAAACCUGCAUGAAGCCUAGGCAGCGAGAACGGCUAACCAAAAGGAAACUCCCAGGGAAAUGCAAUUAUUGAUGGUUUCUCGUGUAAUGAUUUCUGUGGGGAAAUCAGUCAUCUGGGUUUUGAGGUGCUAACCCCAAGCAUCUGGAACCAUUGCUAUGGUUGGUCUCAGCUUGCCACUACCUUCCAAGCAGAGCUGACCGUUCUUUCCUUCAUUCAUGCAUUCUUUUGUUCAGUCAACACAUAUGUAUCAAAUAGCCCCCGCAUCCUGUGCUCCAGCACUGAGCUAGGAACAGGCCAGGUGUGCAGAAGCCUCCUCCCUGUCUGAGGAUAGUUAUGGAAGGCUAAAUCGAACUGGGCUUUGGACAGACACUUACAUUCUGGAAGGUGGCAUGGACUUACUUUGAGAAGGCUCACCCAGUCCUGCCUUUGUGGAAAUGAGGGAACCCAGGCCCAGGCAGCCUCAAAGCCCGACUGCAGAGACAAACUAGUCAAUGGAGCCCAGAGCUGUCUAUCUCUGGAGAAGAGCUGUCUGUGAGGCAGGUGUAUACAGAAGAGAGAGAGAGGAAGGAAGAGAACGAGAGACUGCAGACAAAUAUGAACAGCAAGUGUCUCUCUUCAGCCCUCCCUGGAGCCAGGCCGUGCUUCUGCUCCUGACUUACAGUUGCUUCACUGUGCAGUGAAAGUCAGAGCUUGGCUCCCACGCCACGCACAGCAGAGUCCCAUCCCCGCUUCUGGCAUCUUUUCUCACUGUCCUAUUACACAGACCCUCCAUUCCGGCCACACACCGUACCCUGUCCCACUUAAGGACCUUGGCUCAGGCCCUUUCCACCACCUGGAAUGCUCCUGCUACCCCCACAGGGCUGCCCAAAUGCCUUUUCCAUGAAGGACACCCCAACUGGAAGCAAUUUUUCUUUUUCCUGGAAUUCCGUACACUUAGCAGUUGUGCAAGCAGCUUUGCUAGACAGUUCCCUAACUUCAAGCCUUGUUCCUCCCGUAGAUGGGUUAGGUCUCUGGAUAUUAGGGUCCCCAGAGUAUUUAUUUAUAGUUCCAGUUCCCAGUAUGGCGCCCUGUACUCUGCAGGCACCUGACCAAUGGCUGUCAACCCAGGCGCACCAACCCUCCAUAUCAGAACGCUUCAUACACAGCCUGCAGGAGGGACUAGCAGGGCAGAGGGACCUGCUUUGCCCAAUAGUGGAAGUCACAGGACAUUUCUCAACAUCAUUCACGAUAAAAACAUCUUUUUUUUUUUUUCUGCGACAUAGUCACUCACCCUCCACCUUCUUUCGGUAAAUCCUCCAUAAAACUACAUAAGGAGAAAUAUCCCUUUGUUUUACAUCCUCUGACUCAGAUACUGAGCAUUAUUCCUUGGGGUCAGCGGUGGAGGUGGAGGUGGAGGUGGAGGGGAGGAAAGAUCCCCUCGGGGAUGCGGGGAAGAGGAGAGUAUAUUGUGGAGGGGCACGGCGUUUUGCUCUUUUUUUGUUUUUUUCCUUAAGAUGGUCCUGGCUCACAGAAAGGCCACUACCCGGCAGGCGGGUGGGUCACUUCCUGUGGGCGCAGCGGGGCUACGACUUGACAGCUACAAACGUUCGACCCUCCGACUGCGCUCUCACCGGGUUCCCAGACCCAGGUGGUGGUAGUCGGGGGUGGGAGUGGCGGGAAGGGCGCCGUCUU
rnacentral:lncRNA from 1 species